UCCGAUGUGGUCUAGUGGCUAGGAUUUGUCGCUCUCACCGACAAGGCCGGGGUUCAAUUCCCCGCGUCGGAA
rnacentral:tRNA from 1 species